GUCCCAGUCCUGACCGCUUGGUCUUCCUCCUCCAGGUGUUUCCUUGUCUACGGUGCUUUGGACACCUGUCCUCUGGCUCCAGACCGUGAAUCGAGAGCCUCGAGGAGAGGUGGGCGCAGCCAGGGUCAGUGACAAGCCGCCUCUCCUCAAAACCUGGGCCUGAGGCCAAGGUGAGGCGCGGCCCGAGCUCGGGCUUUACCUGGCGUUCACCUGCCUUCUCCGCGGGGUCCCGAGAGACUCUGCUGCCACUUGGCGGAAGGAACCUGUAGUGUAGAGCCACCCGAUUAGGCUGCACCAGGUACUACGCUCACUUCCGCUCUGAAAAGUUGCUGAGAGGAACAUUUGAAUGAAAUUUUAUGGGAUCUCACCAAGUUGCUGAGGCCACCCUGGUAAUUAUGAUCUUUCCUGAGCCUGCAGAGCUGCUGGGAAUAAAGGCAUGCACCACUGUG